GGGGGGGGUGGUCGGAUUAUUGGGCGUAAGCGCGCGUAGGCGGCCGUGCAAGUCGGUUGUGAAAGCCCGGGGCUCAACCCCGGGACUGCGUCCGAUACUGCACGGCUAGAGGCAGGUAGGGGAGAGUGGAAUUCCCGGUGUAGCGGUGAAAUGCGCAGAUAUCGGGAGGAACACCGGUGGCGAAGGCGGCUCUCUGGGCCUGUCCUGACGCUCAGGCGCGAAAGCUAGGGGAGCGAACAGGAUUAGAUACCCUGGUAGUCCUAGCCGUAAACGUUGGGCGCUAGGUGUGGGGGGAUAUCGACCCCCUCCGUGCCGAAGCUAACGCAUUAAGCGCCCCGCCUGGGGAGUACGGCCGCAAGGCUAAAACUCAAAGGAAUUGACGGGGGCCCGCACAAGCGGCGGAGCAUGUGGCUUAAUUCGAUGCGACGCGAAGAACCUUACCUGGGCUUGACAUGCGGGGUGAAACCGUGGAAACACGGCCCUCUAUGGAGCCCGCACAGGUGGUGCAUGGCUGUCGUCAGCUCGUGCCGUGAGGUGUUGCCUUAAGUGGCGCAACGAGCGCAACCCCUGUCCCUAGUUGCCAGCGGAUCAUGCCGGGAACUCUAGGGAGACUGCCGGUGCCAAACCGGAGGAAGGUGGGGAUGACGUCAAGUCAUCAUGCCCCUUAUGUCCAGGGCUGCACACAUGCUACAAUGCGCGGUACAAAGGGCUGCGAUCCCGCGAGGGGGAGCGAAUCCCAAAAAGCCGCGCUCAGUUCGGAUCGGGGUCUGCAACCCGACCCCGUGAAGUCGGAGUCGCUAGUAAUCGCAGAUCAGCAAUGCUGCGGUGAAUACGUUCCCGGGCCUUGUACACACCGCCCGUCACACCACGAAAGUGGGCAACACCCGAAGCCGGUGGCCCAACCCUUGUGGAGGGAGCCGUCGAAGGUGGGGCUCGCGAUUGGGGUGAAGUCGUAACAAGGUAAC
rnacentral:rRNA from 1 species